rnacentral:misc_RNA from 1 species
AAGUCGUAACAAGGUUUCCGUAGGUGAACCUGCGGAAGGAUCAUUAACAAUAUCAGCACCUGCUUUUUGGGUUUCAUUUUUCGCAAGUGAAAAGUCUGGGAUGUUUAGGUUGAUGACUUCUUGUAACUGAAAUGUUUUGAAGCACCCUAACUUCCUAAUGUACCCCCAGAAAGCAGGAACGCUUUUAACCACUUGUGAAUAUGUAAAUUAUUUUUUUACCAACUGACUGUUAACGAAGUCUGAAUCAAAUAUUUGUCGGUGUUUAAAGACACCAAUACAAUCAUUGAAACAACUUUUGGCAACGGAUCUCUUGGCUCUC